CGCCAAACGUCUCCACGACGAUAAUAUUUUAGUCUUCGCCAGGGUGAGUGUUUAUUCUUAUAUUGUUUUAUGUGUUAAAAGAUGCUAGCGUUAGCGGUAGCGGCUAUAGUGAACGAUCAUCAACGGUCAUGCAACACAUCUUAACAACAACGUUAGCCUGACAGUUGUUUAUGUUUCAAGGUAAACCACUCUCAGCGUUCAAGCGAAACACCUCUGAAGACGUGGAUUAUUGCGAAGAAGGAUGGAGAAGUUAUUGCAGCUCAUUGCAAUUGCAUGGCAGGAUUAUCAGAAUCAUGUUCUCAUGUAGGAGCAGUGCUGUUUUCCAUUGAAGCUGGGGUAAAAAUGCGAGAUGCAGCUUCCUGCACAACAGAGCAGUGCAAGUGGCUGAUGCCAUCACAUGUAAAAAAGAUUCCUGCUGCUCCAGUAGCUCAGAUUGACUUCUCCUCAGCAAAAUCCAAAAAAAAAAAGCUUGACAGCUCCAUUGACGGCAGGACAACUAUAAACAAGUUAUGGAUGCAAACAUGAGGCACAAGCCAGAGGAGCAUAUGAGAAGCUGAUGGGUCGGGAGCAUGCAGGCUUCUCCUGUAUGGACAGUGGUCUCUGGCUGAACCCCAAGUGGCCAUACAUGGGAUCCUCUCCUGAUGGGAUUGUCGCUUGUGACUGUCACGGAACUGGCAUCUGCGAAAUGAAGUGUCCAUACUCUUACCAAGAUGAA